GACGAACGCUGGCGGCGUGCCUAAUACAUGCAAGUCGUACGCUUCUUUUUCCACCGGAGCUUGCUCCACCGGAAAAAGAGGAGUGGCGAACGGGUGAGGAACACGUGGGUAACCUGCCCAUCAGAAGGGGAUAACACUUGGAAACAGGUGCUAAUACCGUAUAACAAUCGAAACCGCAUGGUUUUGAUUUGAAAUGCGCUUUCGGGUGUCGCUGAUGGAUGAACCCGCGGUGAAUUAGCUAGUUGGUGAGGUAACGGCUCACCAAGGCCACGAUGCAUAGCCGACCUGAGAGGGUGAUCGGCCACAUUGGAGCUGAGACACGGCCCAAACUCCUACGGGAGGCAGCAGUAGAGAAUCUUCGGCAAUGGACGAAAGUCUGACCGAGCAACGCCGCGUGAGUGAAGAAGGUUUUCGGAUCGUAAAACUCUGUUGUUAGAGAAGAACAAGGAUGAGAGUAACUGUUCAUCCCUUGACGGUAUCUAACCAGAAAGCCACGGCUAACUACGUGCCAGCAGCCGCCGUAA
rnacentral:rRNA from 1 species